AGAGUUUGAUCCUGGCUCAGGAUGAACGCUAGCGGCAGGCCUAACACAUGCAAGUCGAGGGGCAUCGGGAUUGAAGCUUGCUUCAAUUGCCGGCGACCGGCGCACGGGUGCGUAACGCGUAUGUAACCUACCUAUAACAGGGGCAUAACACUGAGAAAUUGGUACUAAUUCCCCAUAAUAUUCGGAGAGGCAUCUCUCCGGGUUGAAAACUCCGGUGGUUAUAGAUGGACAUGCGUUGUAUUAGCUGGUUGGUGAGGUAACGGCUCACCAAGGCAACGAUACAUAGGGGGACUGAGAGGUUAACCCCCCACACUGGUACUGAGACACGGACCAGACUCCUACGGGAGGCAGCAGUGAGGAAUAUUGGUCAAUGGACGCAAGUCUGAACCAGCCAUGCCGCGUGCAGGAUGACGGCUCUAUGAGUUGUAAACUGCUUUUGUACGAGGGUAAACGCAGAUACGUGUAUCUGUCUGAAAGUAUCGUACGAAUAAGGAUCGGCUAACUCCGUGCCAGCAGCCGCGGUAAUACGGAGGAUUCAAGCGUUAUCCGGAUUUAUUGGGUUUAAAGGGUGCGUAGGCGGUUUGAUAAGUUAGAGGUGAAAUCCCGGGGCUUAACUCCGGAACUGCCUCUAAUACUGUUAGACUAGAGAGUAGUUGCGGUAGGCGGAAUGUAUGGUGUAGCGGUGAAAUGCUUAGAGAUCAUACAGAACACCGAUUGCGAAGGCAGCUUACCAAACUAUAUCUGACGUUGAGGCACGAAAGCGUGGGGAGCAAACAGGAUUAGAUACCCUGGUAGUCCACGCAGUAAACGAUGAUAACUCGUUGUCGGCGAUACACAGUCGGUGACUAAGCGAAAGCGAUAAGUUAUCCACCUGGGGAGUACGUUCGCAAGAAUGAAACUCAAAGGAAUUGACGGGGGCCCGCACAAGCGGAGGAACAUGUG
rnacentral:rRNA from 1 species